CAAAAAGUAGCUUAUACAAAGCAUUCAACUUACAAUUGAAAAAUGCCAAAUAACUGGCCUUUUUGC
rnacentral:tRNA from 1 species